AUCGAACGCUGGCGGCAGGCCUAACACAUGCAAGUCGAACGAGUGGCGGACGGGUGAGUAAUGUCUGGGAAACUGCCUGAUGGAGGGGGAUAACUACUGGAAACGGUAGCUUAUACCGCAUACCAUCAGAUGUGCCCAGAUGGGAUUAGCUAGUAGGUGGGGUAAUGGCUCACCUAGGCGACGAUCCCUAGCUGGUCUGAGAGGAGGACCAGGCACCCAGGAACGGAGACACGGUCCAGAGUCCUACGGGAGGAAGCAGUGGGGAAUAUUGCACAAUGGGCGCAAGCCUGAUGCAGCAAUGCCGCGUGUGUGAAGAAGGCCUUCGGGUUGUAAAGCACUUUCAGCGAGGAGGCGUUACUCGCAGAGGAAGCACCGGCUAACUCCGUGCCAGCAGCGGCGGUAAUUC
rnacentral:rRNA from 1 species